rnacentral:lncRNA from 1 species
CCCAUCAAGUGGAGGACUGAGGUGGGGUUCUUGAAGCUCAAAGGAGCUCCUCUAGUCCAAAUAGCACCCCCGCAUAUCAUGUUUUCUUUGUAGAUAAAUUCUUUAUGCACCACGAGCGGUGUAGAAAAUUCAUCAUGGAGCACACCGUCUUGUCUGAUUGAUCCACGUAGUCAUUACUUUCUAACGCAUAUUUAAUGUCUGU